GGAAUAUCCAGCACACGUGUAUAGCUGCCUUAGAAUUCUUAGUCUGGGUCACCAUGGGAAAUAGAAUUCUUAGUCUGCGUCACCAUGGGAAAUAACCGUAUCAGCAAGGACACAGUGCUCUCAUCACUUCAAAUUAUAUCCAAAAUAUGGUGAAGCAUACUUAUGUGGAGGAGCAGAAUAUAAAUAAUUGAAAAGAGUGUCAUAAGUUGAGCUGCUUUCCUCUGGCAUGUUCUUUUGUCCCGAUGUUCCUGUCAUGGAACAAGCUGCCCAUGGACUGCACCUCCUGAAACUCAUCCAGAAGUGAUGUAAAUAUUAUCAAAUAGCAGCUUAAAAAUAAACGCCAUACAUAGUGCAAUAAAGACAGUGGAAAUCAGCAACUUGGGCUGGAACUGACAAGGAAAUGCUGACUUCUUAUUUAAGGUAAGAGUAUACCUUGAGCCUGAGAGGAAACUUUGGACUUAACUUUUCAGCACUCCUAAACGUUCAAAAAAAGACCUUUGAUCUUCAAAUAAUGAAAUAAUGAUUCAAAGAGAGCAGCUCCAUCUGAGAAAUUAGGGCAGACUGACUACACAGAAGAAAAAAGAAAGCUAAGGCCAAUAAGCAUGAAAUGUUCACGAGAGCACUUAAACCUGGAGAAACUCACCCAACGAACUGUGCUUAAGUCACUCAUGCAUUUACAGCUUGAGCCUUCUGUAUAAGGCAUGAU